AAGAAAGUAAGUAAGGGCGUAUGGGGGAUGCCUAGGCUCUUGGAGGCUAAGAAGGACGUGGUAAGCUGCGAAAAGCUGCGGGGAUUUGCAAACGAGACUC
rnacentral:rRNA from 1 species